rnacentral:rRNA from 1 species
UCUCCCUGUCACUUAUCUGUGUGUCAGCCUGACCUCAUCUGAUUUCAGAAGUUAAGCAGAGCUGGGCCUGGUCAGCACCUGGCUGGAAGACCAUUCAAAGACCUCGGUGAUGUGAGAA